AUCAUUAGCCUUGCGACCCUCGGCAGCAAGACCCAUACGACCAAUAUCACGAAAAUAGUCACGCAAAGCAUUGGGAUUAUCAUAAAACGCCUCUAAUCGGUCGUCAGCCAACGUGAGAGUGUCAAAAACGAUAAACCAACCAUCAGCAUGAGCCUGUCGCAUUGCAUUCAUCAAACGCUGAAUAGCAAAGCCUCUAC
rnacentral:rRNA from 1 species